rnacentral:rRNA from 1 species
GACGAGGGGUCCAAGCGUUGUUCGGAAUCAUUGGGCGUAAAGCGGGUGUAGGCGGCUCUAUAAGUCAGGAGUGAAAGCCCCAAGCUUAACUUGGGAAGUGCUUUUGAUACUGCAGAGCUUGAAUGUGGGAGAGGGUAGUGGAAUUCCAGGUGUAGUGGUGAAAUACGUAGAUAUCUGGAGGAACACCGGUGGCGAAGGCGGCUACCUGGCCCA